CCAUAAUAAAGAUGUGACCAUAAACGCUGCACUUUACUUUCUAACACAAGUCAGUCUUGUUGAGACCCCACGAGUGAAUCUCUGGUCUCUGCCGUGGAUCCCACACAGGCGCACUGGGCAACAUAUUUAGAGUGACCUAUCCGUGCGCCUGACGUCAGCACGCAACGAUCACGCACAUUUCAAAGGCUAGUUUUGAUGCGCGCAGCAUUGACUCUCCUCCGUCUGCAUCUGCAUUGUGUACUUCUGUCAUCCGAAAGGCUUCAUUCAGCAGUUUUUACUCUCUUUAUGGCUGACAUUUGGCACACGAGUGUCCACCGUGCGCACCGUUACGCACAGAGUGGAAGAGGGGAGCACGUCGCACCACGUAAAGCAACGUGACCCGCACGAGCUCCGGGGGAAGCAUCUGCUUCUCCUGGUGCUGCUGAGGCUGCGGCAGCAGCAUCACACUCUCCGCUCCUGCUGCCUGCGUGCCGCUCUUUGACGAUCUCCAUCUCUCGCAGAUCGUUUCUGUCCUGCGUCUUCUCCCCUCCGACCAGCCCAGAAGCGUUUGGAAACUACACCAUUCAGAUGUUGCAGUCGUUUCUGCCGGUUAGUGGUUCGAUCUGGCUCGGUCUUCUUGUUGACUCAGGUGCUUCAGGCACGCAAGGUGCACGUUUGGAGACCACCGCUCGGUCGAGGUCUCCUCUCGCUGCCCAAGCCUGCCUCCGAGGACUUCAGCGAGCCGCUGACUGUGAGGGGACAGAGGGAGGAUGGAGUCAGCUGUGGAUGAGGAGCGGAGGCAUCUUCUGUGGCACGUCAGUGACAGCGCCGGUAACACUGCAUGUCAGGUGCUGAAACAUCACGGCAUCGCAAGCUCAAAGCUUUGUGAUGCAUUCUUUCCCUGCACCCGACAGGAAAAAAAAAUCCCAAUUCAGGAUUUGCUGCAUGUGUCCCCCAAGGUGCCUCCCUCCACCACCCCCGUGUCCUCCACCGACGGGCAGCCGUGGCCAAGGAGGCAGCACGUCGCUCCGCGCGUCCCUUCAGUGCUGCAAAAAAAACGAUGCAACUAAAGAGGGAGAACAAUGGACACCGGCUCACAUUGAGGGGUGCGAAAUGUGUCUGAGUUUUAAGUGCACGUCGCCCACAGCAGCCGGUGUGUGUGUGUGUGUGUGUGUGUGUGUGUGUGUGAGAGAGAGAGAGAGAGAGAGAGAGAGAGAGAGAGAGAGAGAGAGAGAGAGAGAGAGAGGAGGGGAGGGGACCAGCGACGCAGCAGCUCCGCGCACACUGUCAUCGGAGGCUGCUGAGGAGAUGCUGGGGAUGCUGGCAGCAGCAGAGUCUCCUCGGCCUCUUCUGGUCCCACUGAAGCAAAAAAGCAGAGCCGCUGUCUUUUUACAACCCAACACUUCUGCGGGUUCGGAUCGGGUCGUUGUCGGCGAAGGCUCGCAAGCGUUUUGGGUUUCUCCUCCCUGGAACUUCUGGCUUCUUCUAGUUUGGGCACGCUUGAGAGGUUGAUGGUAGAAAGUUGCGUUCAAAUACUGAGUGGACUUGAUCUGGAAAGACUGCGGGAUUUUAUUCAAAGCUGACGGCUUGAAUCUGUGGAUGCAGACAGUCACACAGCAACACACACACACGCACACACACACACACACACCAUCCUGCAGGCCUGCGUCUGAACCUGCAGGACAGCAGGUCAGCAGAGACACACACCACCUCCUGCUCCGAGGAUCAGAGGUCACAGACGGAGGUCAGGGCGACGCUUCAUCACUCCAAACUUUCAGCAGGAGGAGGAGGAGGAGGAGGCAGCGGAGGAGGAAAAAGAGAAAGCAGAGUGGGUGGAAGGAUGGAAGGAGAGAAGGAUAGAAGCAGUUCGAGGAGGUGGUUCGAAGCGGGUGAACCCAGAGCAGGUGAACACAGCUGUGGAUCGCCAUGGGCUCUCUGGCUGCCUUCCUCCUGUGGCCCCGGUGCUGCGUACAGGGGUCCCGGGGAGCCAGCAGGGGCCAGCCAAAGCUGCGGCAGAGUGGGCAGGCUAGGCCAGCCAAGCCAGGAGAGAGGCAGGUGAGGCGGGUGAGCCGAGCUCUCAUCCCCGCCGGCUAGGAGCCUCCGCGGCAGAGCGGAGCAGCGCGGAGCAGCAGAAAUCAAUACAGAGGAGAGAGGCUAGCAGAGGUUGCCCAGCACCGCCUGCAGGCCUCGGAGCCCAGGGACCAACCACCACCACUGCUCCCAGCUCCUCUCUCCAUCUCUCUUUCUAUCUUUCUCCAGCAGUCCCAGCACCAGCCAGGGCCAGGGCCCUAACCCUGCAUCCGCCCCACACGCAGUGUGUGUGUCAGUAGGUGCACGUGUGUGUGUAAAAUAGAGAGAAGAAGGGAGAGAGAAGAGACAGAGAGAGAGAGAGAGAGAGAGAGAGAGAGUCUUUGUGUGUGGUUCAGCCGGAGGGGUUUUUCUGCAGCGUCCAACACCACUUGAUAAAACUUUGUCAGAGAGACGCGGAGACAGCGAGGGAGGGAGAGAAACGGAAGAAUAAUAAGACAGGACGUUGAAGGUCUCUUUUCUUCCACUUCCCUCCCCCUUAUUACUCAUUCCUCCUUAAACGUCUGUGUAUGGAUCCAUCGGAGACAGCACACAGGACGUUUAUACUCAGUCCCACUUCCAAGCACGUAGCGCACAAUAUUCCUCAGAUCUCAUGAGCCGGGAUGAAAGGACAAUUUGAACUUUUUCUCUCAUCCGCUGUAUCAGACACAGCCUGUCUUUUCGCCUUAGAUUUUCUUACCCUCACUACAGCAGCUCCCAUCAGAGGAUAUGGCAGUGCAGUAUUGAUCUAUAAGGUGGAAGAGAGGAAGGCGGGCCCCAGCUUUCAUACCUCUCUCUCUCUCCGUGUGUGGAAAUAGCAGCUGAAGUCCACUUACUGCCGUGCAGCAGGGAUCCCAUGGCAGCACAAGUGAAUGGCUGCUAAUUGAAUGAGAGAUGAAAAGGACAGUAGUUGUACCUGUUUGGUGCCCCCACCACCACCUUCCCCUCGCCUCCUGUCUGACAUUACUUGGCUUUUCAUCCGGAGUUUUUCUCUUCCAUGUUUACAAAAAGUCCCUCUCCACACAAAGAGACCUGCUCUUCAGAUGUUUGAGCAAAUUCGUGAUGACUCAAGAAAAUUGGCCAAAUCCUAAGAGAAAAGUGCUCGAAAACAUCCGGCUUGAAAACUUCGGCCUUGAGGGGUCGUACCACAAAACAUCCUGUGCUGUACGUAUUUGUGGACUCUGAAGGACGCUACAGGACAGAGAGACGAGAAAAGGUCACAGCAGGAUUCAUCCCUCUUGAUGCAGCCAGUCUGGAUGAAAAGCGGCGAGCGAGCUUCCACCGUUCUCUAAUAAAAGCCCACACACCGUCUGUAGUCUCUCUGACCAUGUUUAGCCUCGGCCACAUGUGGAAAAGCGCCACCUCCCCGUCUGCAGGAACAGUCAGUUAGACGCACACAUCAUUACAGUCUGAUUAUCAGUUGUCUAGUCUGGCUCUUUGGACAGGUAAGUUGGAGCCGCGUCUAAAAGGUAAGUUUAGAGGUUGAAUCAAUUUUAGAGCUGUCUGAAGUGUGAAAAUGGAGCUGCUGAGCAAUAUUUCCCAGAAUUAGUUUCAUUAGAUGUGAAUUACUACAUUUGAGAACAAUUUUAGGUCGGAGAUUGGCUGAGACCCCAAGCAGUCCCUCUUUUCACUCAGUAAUUUACAUCCAAGUAUUUGACUGGAAAAUCGCUCGACAAGAGUCUGUCGCUGUUGAAGUACUUUCCUGUGGCAUCGUGAUCAUGUACACACACAAAUUUAUACAAUCGUCUGCAUAGUGCGAAAGAAUCCUAUCAUGAAAUGUUAAAUGAGAUUGCUGAAUGAGAAAAGUGUGGCAGUGAUAUGAAAUAUAUUUCCAAUAAAGAUGAACAAUUUGAAAAAAGAAAA